GACGAACGCUGGCGGCGUGCCUAAUACAUGCAAGUAGAACGCUGAAGGAGGAGCUUGCUUCUCUGGAUGAGUUGCGAACGGGUGAGUAACGCGUAGGUAACCUGCCUGGUAGCGGGGGAUAACUAUUGGAAACGAUAGCUAAUACCGCAUAAUAUUGACUAUUGCAUGAUAGUCAGUUGAAAGGUGCAACUGUACCACUACCAGAUGGACCUGCGUUGUAUUAGCUAGUUGGUGGGGUAACGGCUCACCAAGGCGACGAUACAUAGCCGACCUGAGAGGGGGAUCGGCCACACUGGGACUGAGACACGGCCCAGACUCCUACGGGAGGCAGCAGUAGGGAAUCUUCGGCAAUGGACGGAAGUCUGACCGAGCAACGCCGCGUGAGUGAAGAAGGUUUUCGGAUCGUAAAGCUCUGUUGUAAGAGAAGAACGAGUGUGAGAGUGGAAAGCUCACACUGUGACGGUAUCUUACCAGAAAGGGACGGCUAACUACGUG
rnacentral:rRNA from 1 species